AGAGUUGAUCCUGGCUCAGGAUGAACGCUAGCUACAGGCUUAACACAUGCAAGUCGAGGGCAGCAUGAAGUUGCUUGCAAACUUGAUGGCGACCGGCGCACGGGUGAGUAACGCGUAUCCAACCUCCCCUUAGUAGCGGAUAGCCCGGCGAAAGUCGGAUUAAUACGCUAUGUCUUCGUAGAGGGCAUCUGAAAUGAAGCAAAGGUUUACCGCUAAGGGAUGGGGAUGCGUCUGAUUAGGCAGUAGGCGGGGUAACGGCCCACCUAGCCGACGAUCAGUAGGGGUUCUGAGAGGAAGGUCCCCCACAUUGGAACUGAGACACGGUCCAAACUCCUACGGGAGGCAGCAGUGAGGAAUAUUGGUCAAUGGGCGCGAGCCUGAACCAGCCAAGUAGCGUGCAGGAAUGACGGCCCUAUGGGUUGUAAACUGCUUUUAUACAGGGAUAAAGUGCGCCACGUGUGGUGUUUUGUAGGUACUGUAUGAAUAAGGACCGGCUAAUUCCGUGCCAGCAGCUGC
rnacentral:rRNA from 1 species